GCCGCGUCCCCGCCCCUUCCGCCCCAGGCCACGCCCCUUCCGCCCCGUCUCCGGUUGCCCUGGUUACCGCUCGCUUCCUGCGUCUCCUGGUUCCGCUGACAGAAAUGGCUAACGGAGCGCUGAGGGAGUGUUCCACGGACUGCCGCGCGCGGAGCUGGGAGCCGCGGCGAGCGCGGGGACUUGGAAAACGCGGAAGGAGUGCAAAACCAGCAUGUGAUGACAUGGAAAACCUCCUGGCUCUACCUGUCACAACUUAAAAUUGACAUUAUUUUGGGAACCUAGCAUAAACAAAAGCAUGGUUUAAGAUUGUAUUAAAAAGUGUUAUUGGGAGCUGGAGCUGUGGCAUGGCAGGUGAAGUCACCACCUGCAGUGCCAGCAUCCCAUGUGGUUCGAGUCCUGGCUGCUGCACUUCUGAUCCAGCUCUCUGCUAAUGGCCUGGGAAGGCAGUAGAAGAUGGCCCAUCUUUGGGCCCCUGCACCCACGUGGAAGACGUGGAAGAAGCUCCUGGCUCCUGAUCAGCCCAGCUCUGGCCGUUGCGGCCAGCUGGGGAGUGAACUGGCGGAUGAAGGACCUUUCUCCCUGCCUCUCCUUCUUUCUCUGUGUAACUCUUUCAAAUAAAUGAAAUAAAUCUUAAAAAAAAAAAAUAAUAACUGUAGGAGUAAAAGGGAAAGCUUCUGAAUGUCACAGGUGAAUGGCUGAGUAUCUUACACUAUAUACACACACCAUAUAAUGUUAUGCACAAAUACAGGUAGGCCUGUAAUGUUGAGAGGAAUUGCUAGGUAUAUGGAAUGAGCUGAAUUUUUAAAGUCCCUAUAACCAUUUGCAUGCAUGUUUGUUUACUUAAGGCACAGAAGGAUUCAUCCAGAAGUGCUGAUGUCCUUCAUGUGGGUGGGACUGAGGAGGGAGAAUAAAGGAGGGGCAAAUAAAUGUUCUAAAAAAGUA